GUGCCUAUACAUGCAAGUCGAACGAGUUCUGAUUAUUGAAAGGUGCUUGCAUCUUGAUUUAAUUUUGAACGAGUGGCGGACGGGUGAGUAACACGUGGGUAACCUGCCCUUAAGUGGGGGAUAACAUUUGGAAACAGAUGCUAAUACCGCAUAAAUCCAAGAACCGCAUGGUUCUUGGCUGAAAGAUGGCGUAAGCUAUCGCUUUUGGAUGGACCCGCGGCGUAUUAGCUAGUUGGUGAGGUAACGGCUCACCAAGGCAAUGAUACGUAGCCGAACUGAGAGGUUGAUCGGCCACAUUGGGACUGAGACACGGCCCAAACUCCUACGGGAGGCAGCAGUAGGGAAUCUUCCACAAUGGACGCAAGUCUGAUGGAGCAACGCCGCGUGAGUGAAGAAGGCUUUCGGGUCGUAAAACUCUGUUGUUGGAGAAGAAUGGUCGGCAGAGUAACUGUUGUCGGCGUGACGGUAUCCAACCAGAAAGCCACGGCUAACUACGUGCCAGCAGCCGCGGUAAUACGUAGGUGGCAAGCGUUAUCCGGAUUUAUUGGGCGUAAAGCGAGCGCAGGCGGUUUUUUAAGUCUGAUGUGAAAGCCCUCGGCUUAACCGAGGAAGUGCAUCGGAAACUGGGAAACUUGAGUGCAGAAGAGGACAGUGGAACUCCAUGUGUAGCGGUGAAAUGCGUAGAUAUAUGGAAGAACACCAGUGGCGAAGGCGGCUGUCUGGUCUGUAACUGACGCUGAGGCUCGAAAGCAUGGGUAGCGAACAGGAUUAGAUACCCUGGUAGUCCAUGCCGUAAACGAUGAAUGCUAGGUGUUGGAGGGUUUCCGCCCUUCAGUGCCGCAGCUAACGCAUUAAGCAUUCCGCCUGGGGAGUACGACCGCAAGGUUGAAACUCAAAGGAAUUGACGGGGGCCCGCACAAGCGGUGGAGCAUGUGGUUUAAUUCGAAGCAACGCGAAGAACCUUACCAGGUCUUGACAUCUUUUGAUCACCUGAGAGAUCAGGUUUCCCCUUCGGGGGCAAAAUGACAGGUGGUGCAUGGUUGUCGUCAGCUCGUGUCGUGAGAUGUUGGGUUAAGUCCCGCAACGAGCGCAACCCUUAUGACUAGUUGCCAGCAUUUAGUUGGGCACUCUAGUAAGACUGCCGGUGACAAACCGGAGGAAGGUGGGGAUGACGUCAAAUCAUCAUGCCCCUUAUGACCUGGGCUACACACGUGCUACAAUGGAUGGUACAACGAGUUGCGAGACCGCGAGGUCAAGCUAAUCUCUUAAAGCCAUUCUCAGUUCGGACUGUAGGCUGCAACUCGCCUACACGAAGUCGGAAUCGCUAGUAAUCGCGGAUCAGCACGCCGCGGUGAAUACGUUCCCGGGCCUUGUACACACCGCCCGUCACACCAUGAGAGUUUGUAACACCCGAAGCCGGUGGCGUAACCCUUUUAGGGAGCGAGCCGUCUAAG
rnacentral:rRNA from 1 species